AUUUCCCCCCAGUUUUCCCCCCCAAUAUUUUCCCCAUUUCCCCCCAAAUUUCUCCAAUUUUUCCCCCAAUUUCCCCCAAAUUUCCCCAAUUUUUUCCCAGAACAAGAAGAAAAAGCCCAAAGCCAAAGCCCAGCCCGACCCCUCCCCCUCAGCCCCCGGGCCGGAGGAAAAGUUGGAAAAUUGGGAAAAAUUGGGAAUUUCCAUCAAUGGUUUCCAUGGCAACCGCUCCCCAUCCCUGGAGUCGCUCCCUGAGCCCGGGGCAGCCCUGGGCAAUGGAAUCCCAAAUUUUCCUGCCCCGACCCCGACCCGGAGCAGCCCCGGAUCCCCCGGGGGGAGGAAACUGGCCUCAUGGACCGGGAGGUGGCUCUGCUGGCUGAGAUGGACAAAGUCAAGGCAGAAGCAAUGGAUCUGCUCUCCCUGCGGCAGCGCCGGGCGGAGUCUCUGCGCGCGCUGACCGAGGCCGCCCCGGCCAUGUCGGAGGAGCAGCUGCAGGAGCUGCGGGCCGACAUCAAGGUGAGCCUGGAAUUCCAUAAAAAUCCAUAAAAAUCCCACAAAAAUCCCACAAAAAUCCCAUAAAAAUCCCACAAAAAUCCCAUAAAAAUCCCACAAAAAUCCCAUUAAAAUCCCGACCCCGAUCCCGUGGGAAUUCCAUAAAAAUCCCACAAAAAUCCAUAAAAAUCCCACAAAAAUCCAUAAAAAUCCCAUAAAAAUCCCAUAAAAAUCCCACAAAAAUCCCAUUAAAAUCCCAUAAAAAUCCCACAAAAAUCCCACAAAAAUCCCAUUAAAAUCCCAUUAAAAUCCCGACCCCGAUCCCGUGGGAAUUCCAUAAAAAUCCCAUAAAAAUCCCGACCCCAGUCCCAGCCUGAAUCCUAUAAAAAUUCCAACCCCCAUCCUGUGGGAAUUCUCACCCCAUUCCCCAUUGGGAAUUCCCAUUUUCCCCAUUUGCUUGGGGAUUCCUGUUUUCC
rnacentral:lncRNA from 1 species